GGAGUUUGCACAAAAGAAGGGCAUGUGAGUCGGAUGUGUGUUUGUUUCUCAUCAACACAAAACAAUAAGACUACAAUACGAAUACAAUAGAGCUAUUCUCGUUAAUGUUAAAGAUAAAACAUGUUUCAGAGGCAUGUCAGGUUUGAAUACUUAAGUACAACUGAGUAUUAAAAAGUCAGUGACUUGUGUUAUGGAGUGUAUAUGGUGGAAUUAGCAAAGAGAUGCCCAACAUGUAUUUUUCCAGCAGAGAAUCCCCAGCCACUGAGCGCCUCAGAGACGGUGAUGGGUGUCCUUGGAUGGGUGAUUGCACUGGGCAUCAUCCUCAGUAUAGCUGGCACAAUAUAUCUGGUCAAAAAACAACAGCGGCCACAAACACACAGGGUCAGACAAUGACUCAGAUAGUUCUUUUCCUGCCCACAAAAAGCCUUCUUCAUCUAAAAAGAGGGCAACUGAUGACUUCCAGGUAAGAAAGCACUCAGUAAAGCCACAGAAACACCAGUGAGGGCCAUUUUAUCAGAUGAAAAGAUGCACUAAUGUACCAUGGUAUGGCUACGACCUGAAUAGAGGAACUGAGGCUUUAAUGAUAAACCUGAAUUUCCUCUGGUCUCAUUGAUAUAGUGAGCAGAGAGUGCCUCCUUCUGGAGAAGAAAACUUCCCCCCGUUGAGUUCUAAUAGUUAAUCAUCACAGAGUAUGUUUUAGCAAUGACUCUGUAUAACUUCCUUGAACUUUGCUACUUUUGAAACAUUUAUGUAUUCUGAAUUUGAAAAAAGGUCCAAACUUGAUUGUGUCUGCACCAGCAUACGUAAUAUCAAAGUGACAGUGUCAGCCGUGUGCCUGAGUGCACUCAUUAAAUAUGCACAGCGCUCAUUCUCUCGCUCUCUCUGUCUGACCUUGUAUCUUUGUUCCCACAGAGCCCCGGGAGGUUCUACGAUGAGCUCCCAAACACGGCCGACUAUGUGAGUUACCGUUUGGCAUGUAACAAAGAGGAUUAUCUGGAGCAACACUCUCCUCCCAUUCAACCUCCCUUGACCUUCCUGCCCCAAAAUCCCUACACUCAGCACCGUAACAAGACCGCUAUAUUCACGUACCCCACACCCCCCGGCCCAGUCUCUUCAUACUCCUUCCCGAAAGAACAGUAUGUAUAAAUAUAUUUGUGACCUGUCUCUUUUUGUCUUUCUUCAAUUGCUCUGGUCAUUGUGUAGCUACUUUUCUUAAACUGUGAAUAGAUCUUUAAAAAAAUAUAUAUUAUUCUCCAAGCAUAAUUAGAUUUGCAUGCAUUUUUUAAAAUUUUUAUAAUAAUAUUAAUAUUAAUAUAAAACGUCAUUGUCUUAAAGUAGGUCAGUGGUUUAAUCAGUCUGGACACCCCAUUUAUAACAGACCCAUAUUGUGUAUUGUAUUCUGUACAAUUAUGCAUCACUCCAUUGUUUUAUGUCAUUUCUGAACAGGUCUUUUUGCUGCUUUCGUAAUAGUACAUUUGAGACAAUAAUAUUGUAGCAGUAGAAAUAUAUUUCCUAAGCUAAAUUCUUAAAUAUAAUUAAAAUAAAGAAAUAUUGUAUGUAUGAUUUGUUUUUGAUAAUAUCUACUACUGUAUUUAAUUGUGUGAAACUUGCAACAAUCACAUGAUCGGACCAAUAUUUCACAAAAUAAUCAUUAUUCACUUUUCUUUGCAUCUUUAAACUGUAUAUGCUGUAUUUAAAUGUAUGUGAGAGUGUUUUUGUUUUUUUACAUGCACACCAGCAAAUUCCAGGAAGCAUUUAUGUAGAACUGUGAUUCUCUUUGGUCAUUUGUCCUUUAUUAUUGUUUACAUUAUACUUUGUGACAAUCAUGCACUAUGGUUUAAAGUUCUUCCAUGCACUGCAGUUCUAAUCACUGCUUAAGGAGUAUUUAAAUAGUGUAUAGAGCAUGAGAAAGUGUGCAAAAAUGUGACAGAUUAUAUUUUAUGUAUUGUUGUAUUGUUACAGUUACCAUAAGGUAUUGGAAAAGCUGUUAUGAAAUAUUUGAAUAUUUUAACCACUUGGAUUUUUUUGUUUCUUUUUUUCUACUAAUAAAUACAUAAA
rnacentral:lncRNA from 1 species